rnacentral:rRNA from 1 species
CCUACGGGAGGCAGCAGUGAGGAAUAUUGGUCAAUGAACGAGAGUCUGAACCAGCCAAGUAGCGUGAAGGAUGACUGCCCUAUGGGUUGUAAACUUCUUUUAUAAAGGAAUAAAACGAGGCACGUGUGCCUUUUUGCAUGUACUUUAUGAAUAAGGAUCGGCUAACUCCGUGCCAGCAGCCGCGGUAAUACGGAGGAUCCGAGCGUUAUCCGGAUUUGUUGGGUUUAAAGGGAGCGUAGAUGGGUUGUUAAGUCAGUUGUGAAAGUUUGCGGCUCAACCGUAAAAUUGCAAUUGAUACUGGCAGUCUUGAGUACAGUUGAGGUAGGCGGAAUUCGUGGUGUAGCGGUGAAAUGCUUAGAUAUCACGAAGAACCCCGAUUGCGAAGGCAGCUUACUAAACUGUGACUGACAUUGAUGCUCGAAAGUGUGGGUAUCAAACAGGAUUAGAUACCCGAGUAGUC